UUAUUGGCCCUACCAAAAUCAAUCGACCAAACCGUCCAAUUAUUGUCCAUAACGCCAUAUGGUCCUCUCUCACUCAAUUCUCUCUCACUCAAUUCUCUCUCACCUCAAUUCUUUCCUCUGUCUAACUCUUCAUCUCCCUCAAACUAUUCAUUUUCCUCAGAAAAAUUGUGGUUUUCGUUAUUUCACUCGUUUAGAUCUGGUAUUUUUGUUCAGUUAGUUGUGGUAGGGUUUUGUUCAGUUGGUUGCAUCAUCGCCGCUUCUGUCUCUGAGCUUCAUCGUCGUCUUCAAGCAUCACCGCCGCUUCUUUAUCAGAUUUCAAGAGCUAUGCAAGUUUGCAGCGUAACGGUAUAUUAUUUUUGUUAUUCUGUUAAUUUGUAAGAUUAUUUUAAAUUUUUACAACUAAUGUUGAGUUAAAAGUUGAAAUUAUUGAACUAAUCUAAACUUAAGGCUUUGAUCUCCCCUUUUUUUUUUCGUGCAUUGUUCCAAGUAUAAAAUUAUAAAGUAUAUUGGCUUAAUCUACUGUUAGUUCUGGUUUUCUAUUGUUGUUGAAUGUUGAUUGACUGUUUUUCUGCUGGAAUUAUGAGAUAUUGGUUGGGAAAUGUUGCAUGUUGUUCAUGAAAUUAUGUAAUUUGAUUAUGAAAUUGUAAAUGUUUUAGAGAGACAGAAUUCAUGAACUUUAUGGGAAGUAUAGCUUGUAAAUUUUUAUGGGAAGUAUAGUUGGACUGUAGAAACUGAGAAAGUUUAGCAUCCAUACAUUACAAGCUUCAUUGGCUUGAAAUCGGCUCAGAUUGUGUAAACUAAAAUGUCCUUGAAACUGGGAAACCUUGUGUUCCUGAGGUUUUUGUGCUUCAUAGAACCAAAACAACUCAAAAGAGUAUUCAAGUUUUGUGCUUCCAACUUUAUGGGAAGUAUAGCUUGUAAAUUUUUAUGCCUACCAGACAAGUACUAACACUUCUUUAAUAAUAGUCGCCUGAGGAGACUUUAACUUUGAUGCAGAAGUUUAGAAUGCUCCAGAAAUCUUUUCAUAGUAUAAAAAGAGAUGAUUUUUCUGUCUUUUCUUUGCAUGUAGGCUACAAAUGAAAAUCUUCCACAAAAUCUUAUUAAGCAGCUUGCAAAAGAGUUAAAAAAUCUCGACGAAACACCUCCAGAAGGAAUCAAAGUGGGCGUUAAUGAUGAUGAUUUCACAACCAUAUUUGCUGAUAUAGAUGGCCCAGGUUUGUUUGAGUUUGAUAGGGUGACUUUGGAAAGGUUGAAGAUUGAAGAUUUGUAUAUUGAAGAAGAAAUGAUUUCUUUCUAAUGUAUUACAUAGAUUUUUUGUUAUUAUUUAUUUAAGUAAGGAUGUAAAUUAUUCACAAAUUUUGAUUUAUCAUUUGGGUUUUUUGUCCCAAACUACCUUUAACUUUUAUGUUUUUGCGAGAAACUACCUUAUAAAUAAAUUGUUGUCCCAAACUACCUUACUUUUACCAUUUUGUUGUUGACAACUACCUUAGGCCGAUUUCCGACGUUGACUUUUGUUUUUUCCGCUUUUUUAUUGUCACAUUAUAUCACUUGACCUCUUCAAAUCCUUUUUUUAAUUUUCCCCACCCUAAUUUCCUCAUUUUCCGGUGUGCGCGCGCUUUCUCCCUCAUAUCUAUGUGACACUUUGUACCACCAAUCCACCAUUAAAUUCCUCUUCUACUUAAACUAAAAUUGAAACAAUCACCCUCCUCAAUUCCCACAAGGUAAUUUUAUUUUUCCCACAAUUUUGAACUGGAAAAAACAAAAGUCAAUGCCGGAAACCGGCAUAAGGUAGCUGUCAACAACAAAUUUGUAAAGUAAGGUAGUUUAGGACAACAAUUUUUUUAUAAGGUAGUUUCUCGCAAAAACUUGAAAGUUAAAGGUAGUUUGGGACAAAAAAUCCUUAUCAUUUCUAUUUAUAUUGUAAUUACUUUUAUUACAUAUAAUAAUAAUUAUAAUUUUUCCUUCUA